GCAUAUGGAGGUUCCCAGGCUAGGGGUGCAAUCGGAGCUACAGAGCUACAGCCACUGGCCUAUGCCAGAGCCACAGCAACAUGGGAUCUGAGCUGUGUCUGUGACCUAUACCACAGCUCACGGCAACGCCAGAUCCUUAACCCACUGAGCAAGGCCAGGGAUUGAACCUGCAACCUCAUGGUUCCUAGUCGGAUUUGGGGGUUUUUUUUUGGUUUUUGGUUUUUUUUUUUAGAAAAUGAACAUGUUAAUCAAAUUCUUUAGAACGGUGUGCAUUCUGAUGUGGCUCAAGCAUCACCAUUGAUAUUGUCUGAAUUAAAGACAUCUCUUAAAAAUCAUCGCAUUGAUUGGGGGCUGAGUUAAAAGACUGGAGGGAGAGAGUAAGCAGCAAGUGACAAGUACUACAAAUAAGAUUCCAUCAUUCAUAACUUAGAUUUCAUGCACUAUAUUUAGUUCAAACCCUGGCACUUUAUACAAAUAGGUUGUCACAUAAAGUGCAAACAACUCUCUUUUGACAAAGUGAUAUGGCGGCUAUGGAGUAGGGUUGACGGCUUUAUAUACCGCAGAGCUCAAGUGGCAAAUGAAAGCAGAGUCUUCAAAUUAUGUUGAUAUGGAAUUACUGCAUACAUCCUGUUUGGUUGGGUGGGGGUGGAGGGGAGACAGCCAAAGGAGAGUGUUUUGAAAUUAAUUAAAAGAAAAUCUGAGAGGAUGAGUUUUGAUUUCUCUCAUCUUGACUCUGUAAAAAUGGACUUUGAAGUUGCUGGCGCAAAACAGAGAUAUGGUCCCAAAAACUUCCUCAAAUGAGAUGUACACUGUUGUUUAAAGAUCUGGCUGAAGUGCUUCUCUUGACCUAAAUUAUGCCAGGCACAGGUGCGGUAAUUAUCUCUGCUAGAACUAUGUGGUAUGCUGACACUGAAGCCUUUUGAUAUAUUUGGUAAUCCAGUUUUUGUGUGUACACACACCGCUUUCCCAAGCUGUCUACAUCAGUGGCAUAUUCGAAUGAAGCAGAAUAGUUUAAAAGGCUCUGCUUUCACACUGGCUUUAUUUAGCUUGAAUAAACAUCUCCAGUCAAUGUCAUAGAAAACCUCACAGCUGUCCUGCACUCAACUCUUAAUAAGGAUUUGUCCAAAGAACUAUUUGCCAACUAUGUUGAGCAACAUAGUUCUGAUAGAUGAUUAAUUAGAGAUAGAGGAUUUCCUUUGUAAAAACUGUACUGUGACUCUAAGAGGGCAAAUUCAUUAUUCAUAAAUCAAAAGGAGCAAAGGAUUUCAGUGGCAGCAGAAGCCUUACCUGACUUCAAUCUGACAGUUAACUUAAGGCCUUAAAUGAUUAAAUAAAAGUCUAAGUUCACCCAAGUCUGGCAAAAAUAAAACUCAAAGGCCAAAGACUUCAAAUAACACAAGAAGAAAUCACAGAAUAUUCAACCUCAAAAAGAAAUGGAGAGGAAGAUGUACAAUCUGAUGGAAACUGUGACUUCAAACAGAGGGUCUCUUCUGUUUGUGUUUUUCAGAACUAGAUUUAAAUUUUAUAAUACCUUCCAAGAGAAAAAGGAAGUUUUGAGAGGAAUGUGAUUAAUUGUAACUUUUUAAAGAAAACUUUGAAAUUGAGAUAUAACAGAUAUACAGUGUGGUCACAAAAUCUUUAGCCUCCCUUCCAGUGGGGGCGGUGGGGGGGGGGGGGUCCCUCCUCUGUCUCCUUGAGUCUGGUGGGCUCUGCCCAUACUUUCACCAAGAGAAUCUAGCAGAGUUUACUCUGCCCAAGUCUUUUAAAUGAGUAAACCUACUCACUCUCUUAAAACAUCAGCUCUCAAUGGCAUGAAUUGCUCGAAGGUAAGAAGUCUGAUCACAUGUCCAAGCAAGCCCAAGACAGCCAUGGAGGCAGGGGAAGAGACAGAGAAAGGGAGGAAGCAGAGGCCUAACCAGGUUUCUGGCAUUUGAAUCACCCCAGUUGAGGCUCCAGACUUUGUUGAACUAAGAUAAUCUGAUCAUUCCUGCAAUGCCCUGUAUGAUUUCCUGACCUACACCUUGUGAGAUACAAUAGCAACAAACUUUUCAGUGGAUGUAGCAUACAGCAAGAUGAGCUAAUUUUUUUUCUUGUUUUUUUUUUUUCUUUUUAUGGCCACACCUGUGGCAUAUUGAAGUUCCCAGGCUAAGGGUCAAAUCAGAACUGCAGCUGCCUGGCCUGUGCCACAACUGUGGCAACAGCGGGAUCCAAGCCAAAUCUGCAACAUCCAUCCUAGCCUGUGCAACACUGGAUCCUUAACGCACUGAGCGAGGCCAGGGAUCAAACCUGCAUCCUCACAGACACUAUGUCAGGUUCUUAACCCACUGAGACACAACAGGAACUCCAAGAUAAUAUGAUCUUAAAUGUACCACUCUACAUUUUUGCAUAUGCAUACACACAAGGUAACCACAACCCAGAUUGUGAAACACAACGUUUCCAUUUCUCCAGAAGACUCUGUCUGCCCUUUUCCAGUGUCCUCAAUAAACCAUCCCCCCACAAACAUACAUACACACACACAACCACUCUUCUAACUCUGACCAGCAUUGGUCAGUGCGGUCAGUUCUUGAAUUUUAUUUUAAUUUUUUAAUAUUUAGAUUUUUAUUUUUUUAUUAUACUGCA
rnacentral:lncRNA from 1 species